rnacentral:rRNA from 1 species
CAGCAGCCACGGGAAUACGUAGGGUGCAAGCGUUAAUCGGAAUUACUGGGCGUAAAGCGUGCGCAGGCGGUUAUAUAAGACAGAUGUGAAAUCCCCGGGCUCAACCUGGGAACUGCAUUUGUGACUGUAUAGCUAGAGUACGGCAGAGGGGGAUGGAAUUCCGCGUGUAGCAGUGAAAUGCGUAGAUAUGCGGAGGAACACCGAUGGCGAAGGCAAUCCCCUGGGCCUGUACUGACGCUCAUGCACGAAAGCGUGGGGAGCAAACAGGAUUAGAUACCCCCGUAGUCCCUGUCUCUUAUAA